rnacentral:lncRNA from 1 species
AGAGGACUUGUGUUCAAGGCCCUUCACCAGCUUCAAAGGCCUUCUCUGGGCACGCUCCAGGGCCUCGAUGUCCUUCUUGUACUGCAGGGCCCAGAACUGCACACAGCACUUGCUCAGUGCUUUACCAGCCAGGAGAAUUAAACUACACCUGAUAUUCAAGCAGACAGAGUGAAAACAGCGCAAAAUUUGUGAGCAAAUAAAACAAAAAAAUCUGCCUUGGUUGGGCAGCGGCAGGGAAGCCACAGACCUGGGGCAGGCCCAAGGUCCAGAAGGUAGCAAGAAGCUGGGCUGAUCACUGCUCUGGGUCUGCUCAGGACAAUGGUCACUCUGUCUCCUCGGACUCUGGGCUGGAGCUCUGCAAAUCAAAUCUGGACUGCAUAAUCUGUGCGCAAAGAUCUCUCUGUAAUGAAAAAAAACUCUUGUCCGAAGCAGCGCUGACUGUCAUUGUAGCCAGAGAGGUUGGUAAAUUCCCCAGGUGAGGUCUGGUGAACUAUGCUGGCAUGAUCCUCGAAGGUCCUGGUGCUGGUGGCUUGCCCUGGCCCUGCUUCGCAUGUGCUUUAAAGGCUGGAGGCUUGAAAUCAAAACCAGCUACUGCUUAAAAUCAAAAUGCAAGGCUGUGGUUGUGCUGUGUGAGGAAAACAGGACCAGAACGCUUCCACUAGGUCGCAACAACUAGAAGUUUUUGCAACAAGGAUCUCUGACAGAAGGGCACGGGGGACCCUUGUGCCUAUGAAAUUACCUCCAGGUGAAUCUUGAAUUAGUUGGCAAAAUCUCUCAGGUAGAUUUCCUCUGCUUAGGGUUGAUUUGCUUUGAUGGAAGUAUGUCAUGAAACACAUUGUAUAAGCCAUGCUCUAGUGGGAAAUAUGAAUAUAUACUGUCUUACAAUGCAUUUAUGGUAUUUUGAAGUAAAGUUUUAAGGACAUGUUAAAUGGCCUUACCAACCGUGUCCAGUCUCUCCAUUCCUUUCUCCUCCUGUUAAUGCAAGCUAAAGAUCUGAAACCCUGGGCUUGCUACCUCCUUCAGGGGGGUUAAUUGUCCCACUGCAAGGGAAG